CCUACGGGGCGCAGCAGGCGCGAAAACUUUACAAUGCGGGAAACCGUGAUAGGGGAACUCUGAGUGCCCGUUAAAUCGGGCUGUCCAUCAGUUUAAACAACUGGUGGAGAAAGGGCCGGGCAAGACCGGUGCCAGCCGCCGCGGUAAUACCGGCGGCUCGAGUGGUGGCCACUAUUACUGGGCUUAAAGCGUUCGUAGCUGGUUUGUUAAGUCUCUGGGGAAAUCUUCCGGCUCAACCGGAAGGCGUCUCAGGGAUACUGGCAGACUAGGGACCGGGAGAGGUGAGGGGUACUCCAGGGGUAGGAGUGAAAUCCUGUAAUCCUUGGGGGACCACCUGUGGCGAAGGCGCCUCACCAGAACGGCUCCGACAGUGAGGGACGGAAGCUGGGGGAGCAAACCGGAUUAGAUACCCGGGUAGUCCCAGCUGUAAACGAUGCGCGUUAGGUGUAUCAGUGACCACGAGUCACUGAGGUGCCGAAGAGAAAUCGUGAAACGUGCCGCCUGGGAAGUACGGUCGCAAGGCUGAAACU
rnacentral:rRNA from 1 species